GAUGAACGCUGGCGGCGUGCCUAUUCCUGCAAGUCGAGCGAACAGAUGAGGAGCUUGCUCCUCUGACGUUAGCGGCGGACGGGUGAGUAACACGUGGAUAACCUACCUAUAAGACUGGGAUAACUUCGGGAAACCGGAGCUAAUACCGGAUAAUAUAUUGAACCGCCUGGUUCAAUAGUGAAAGACGGUUUUGCUGUCACUUAUAGAUGGAUCCGCGCCGCAUUAGCUAGUUGGUAAGGUAACGGCUUACCAAGGCAACGAUGCGUAGCCGACCUGAGAGGGUGAUCGGCCACACUGGAACUGAGACACGGUCCAGACUCCUACGGGAGGCAGCAGUAGGGAAUCUUCCGCAAUGGGCGAAAGCCUGACGGAGCAACGCCGCGUGAGUGAUGAAGGUCUUCGGAUCGUAAAACUCUGUUAUUAGGGAAGAACAAAUGUGUAAGUAACUAUGCACGUCUUGACGGUACCUAAUCAGAAAGCCACGGCUAACUACGUG
rnacentral:rRNA from 1 species